GUAUAUUAAGUUGUUGCGGUUAAAAGCUCGUAGUUGGAUUUCAGUCGAAGGCGGCCGGUCCGCACUAUGUGCGUGUAUCUGGUUCGGUUUUGGCAUCCUCUUGGGGAACGUUUCUGUGCUUGAUUGCAUGGGGCGGGAUUCAAGACUUUUACUUUGAGGAAAUUAGAGUGUUCACGGCAAGCUAUCGCUUUGAAUACAUUAGCAUGGAAUAAUAAUAUAGGGCGUAAGUUCUAUUUUGUUGGUUUCUAGGACAUACGCAAUGAUUAAUAGGGACAAUUGGGGGCAUUCGUAUUAACGCGUCAGAGGUGGAAUUCUUUUUUUGCGUUACGACGAACUACUGCGAAAGCAUUUGCCAAGGAUGUUUUCAUUGAUCAMGAACGAAAGUAUGGGGAUCGAAGACGAUUAGAUACCGUCGUAGUCUAUACCAUAAACUAUGCCAAUUAGAGAUUGSAGGUCGUUCGUUUUAUGACUCCUUCAGCACCUUAUGAGAAAUCAAAAUUUUUGGGUUCCGGGGGGAGUAUGGUCGC
rnacentral:rRNA from 1 species